rnacentral:lncRNA from 1 species
UUUUUUUUUUUUUUUUUUGAUUGGAAAAUGCAUGAGAUUGCUGUAUUUCUCCAUAUUUAUUCCUCUAACCUUUUGCACCAGACUUUUCAGAAGUAUGUGUUAAAAUGCAGAGUCCUGGACCUAACCCCACAGGACUAAAUCCGAACCUUUAAAGGUGGGUCCAGCCAUUGCCAUUUUUACCAGCUCCCUGUUGUUUGUGGCGAGCUCCGCAGUUAGAAGCCAGUGGAUGGCUGCUAAAGGUCAGAGUCUCAGAGAUCUUGGAUUCGUCACUCCACCAUUUAAAGCUGCUGAGAUAUUUGUAUCUGGAAAUAGGGAUGAUGGUACCUGGAGGUGUUGAGGAUCCUGUGAACUCUGUGGAAACUAAUUAGUGCUGUGCCUGGUCUACAGCAGGUGCUCAAGAAAUGCUGUGGGUGGCGGGGUUAUCAUUGCACCCAAACGAUACAGAAGCUGCUGGGACUCACAGUCCCCCAAAACAGGGAUGUAAGAAUGUUACCAGAAAAAUAUCGUGGGAGAGUCAUGAAGUGCACACCAAACCCUCAGCCUCAGCCUUUAUUUUUACGAAGAAAGUGUUACUGCCACAUAGCCACCCUGGUGAAUCACUGUUUGUGGCUGCUUUGGACUCUUUGGCCCACACAGCCAAAAAUACUUACUUUCUGGCCCUUGACUGGUGGAGUUAGUUGCUUCCCCCGCCACAUGAAUGUGGUUCAUAUGGAAAGCUUUGUUUAUGUUAACCAGUGAUACAGAAGCAGUCAGGCCUUGGUCUUUGGAGAGUGCUGGUCCCGGUAGCCCUUGUUCCUGUCUGGGCCCUAGUGCUCCUGCCACUCGUGCUGUUUAAUGUCUUUAAGUGGUGCCAGCCCUUCUUGGUGCCAGCAUCUUCUCACUCCACCUAAAAAGCAGUGACAGGGCCCUGUACCAUUUUAACAUCUGGGAAGCUGACUGCCUGAGUACUUGAAAGACUCCCAGGACUCAGGUGUUACAGGCCCCACAGUAGCAACCUGGGAAGGGGAACCAGUUUGUAGAGAACAUGCAGACAAUCAUGUGCCCUCAGGGCCUCCUCAUUGCCAAGUUUGAAUUUAUACUGAGUUCUGGGAAGAUGUUCAUCCUGCAUCUCCUACUCCUUCUAACGUGAGAAACCACAACCAGUCCCAACUCUCAGACCAGAAAAAAGAAUCCACCUUGACGUAAUAUUUUAGGAGGAUCUUAUAAACAAUUUCCAUUUCAUUCUCUAAACCUAAAACUCUAAGUGGAGUUAGGAUGGUGGAAAUAUGUGGUAGCAUUUCACAAAUUAAAGUCACCUCCUAGACCUCUGUCAACAAGUAUUGUAUCAUUCUCAUGAGGACAAGCAGCAAUUACUUUUUUUUUUUUUUUUUUCUUUAUAGGGCAGUAGCCGCGACAUAUGGAGGUUCCCAGGCUAGGAGUUUAAUUGGAGCUGUAGCCGCCGGCCUACACCACGGCCACAGCAACACCAGAUCCAAGCCUCAUCUGGGACCUACCUCAUAGCUCAUGGCAACACCGGAUCCUUAACCCUCUGAGCGAGGCCAGGGAUUGAAUUCACAACCUCAUGGUUCCUAGUCGGAUUUGUUUCUGCUGCGUCACAGCAGGAACUCCAAGCAGCAAUUAACUUUUAACAUUUUGAUAACUUCCAAGCAUUUUAAUAAGAGGAAUAUUCAUUUUUGCAAAAAUACGAGUUCUGUCCUUCUUGUAGGGGCUCUAAUGUUGUCAUGGGCUUUAGUUGGGAGAGCAACUGCACUAUAUUCAUCUCUCAGCAGAAUUUCACAUGCCCCUUGGGGCAGAUGAUGUAUGUGUUCCUUAAAAUAAAACAUAUUUAUAAUCCUCAGUAAAAAUGUUUGGCGAGAUCAUGAAAUUUGAAUGCCAUUCUGUGUUCAUGUGUGUUUGAUUGUAGGUGCUUUCCUCUUAUUUCUUCUUCUUUGGUGUUUUAUGUCUUUCUCUGGGUGUGUACCUCAUUCCCAUUCUUCUUUUCUUGCUCCCUUAAAAUAAACGAGUCACGGUGUGUGGUGGACGCCUUGGGUCUUGCUCCUUUAAGGAGUCAUGAUAUGUGGUGAACCCCUUGCAUCUUGUUCCUUUAAUGAGUUAUCAUACGUGGUGGAUCCCUUGUGUCUUAUUACUUUAAUGAGUCAUGAUAUGUAGUGGAUCCCUUGGGUCCGGUGUUUAUGCAGUAUAACUAGCAUACAUUAAAUGUUUCCUUAAAAAAAACCAAAAAACAACUUCCUGCCAAACUAUAAUUAAAAGUCUUUUUAUAUGUCUUUUGAUUAAUAUUUUUAUUAGCUCUCUGACUCUCCAAUAAGGAGAGAAAAGGCUCCCGUCCCCUGUUUUCUUGGCCUCUUUGUGUUGUUGGCUCAGAGUGUUGUGGAUUGUUUGAUGGAGUUGAUAAAAAUUCUCCUGAUGUUUCCUGCUCGCUCUAAAUUUGGAAUACACCUACAGUAUUCUUUUAGGCUUUAUUGUUUCCUAAACCAUCUAUUUAAAUACAGUCCUAAAGCUUAAACGGAACACUGUUAUUGUGGCUAAGAAUAAUGUGUGUAAUGGGGCAGUAGAUUAGAUUUCAUUACCAUUCUCAUAACCAUGCAAAAGCCUGUGUUCCCACAAAGCACUCAAUAACCUUAUUAAGUGUUGCCAGUACCAAUGGUAAAUGUAUAAUGUUCACUUGUAGUGACUUGUAAGUGGAGUAGGGGGAAGAACUUGACCUUUAAAUCCAGUGGCUCUCUAAAGUCCUCAUGUUUGAGGCAGAGGCAUCAAGGGGAAAUCUGUUGCCCAUCACUGAGCAGAACAGUGUUAUCUGAUGCAUGGUUUUGAUGCAUCCGAAGCAGAGCAAGGAGCUUUCGUCUAUUACGUUGAGACUUCUAGGACUUGAGGAUGUUCGUAGCCCAUUUACAGGGAGUGGUUGAUUUGAUGCUCAUUUCAUUUUCCUUUUAUUGUUUAACCGAAAAUCUCUGUAUCUGUUUCAUAAGUCUGGAUUUUUAUUGGCUUAUGAGACAUAAGGUCAGAUUCAUCAAGUGAAUUGCGUACGAAUUGUUUUUUAAUGGUGAACCUUCCAUCCUUGUUCUCUGACAUUAAAAUGCAUGAUUUUGCCAUUUGAAUGAUUCUGUUACACUUUAUGAUCCUGUGCUUAUUAUGUUCUUGCUUUUCCUCAGUCUAAAAUCCCCAUCUGCUCCUUCCUCCCCACUAUAUACCCUCUUCUAACUGUUCCAACUCUCAAAACCUGAUUCCUAGUUCAUGUGCCAUCUGCUUCGAGAAGCUGCCCUGCUUUCCAGAGUCAAAAUGAAUGAAUUCUUUUGGAGUUUCCUGGUGGCCUAGCAGUUAAGGAUCCAGCAUUGUCCCUGCUAUGGCUUGAGGUUAACCCCUGGCCCGGGGAACUUCUGCAUGCUGCAGACUCAGCAGCCCCUCCCCCAAAAAGUGAGCGAAUUCUCUCUCUCUCUCUCUUUUUUUUUUUUUUUUUUUGCAUUUUAAUUUCUCUACUCCUAGAGACAUUUGCCUAGACAUCUAUUUCACAGUUAUUUCAUUAGUUUUCAAUGAUAGGUAUCAUAUAUCAGGCUGAACCAUAUGAAAUUACCAUUAUUCAACUAUUUUCGAGCUACAAAACAUAUCAAAUUAAUAGGGUUGAACCUAAUACUUAUUUCAACAUUCACUGCACAAACUUUUGAAAAUAAACGAUGGUCCAAGUUAUUUAAAACACAUCUUGGACUUGGGUUUAUAUAUCUCUCUAGAGCACUUCCUGAGUUUUAUAUGUGACAGAUGUAUUCAAGAAAUGUUUGGAGUUCCCGUCGUGGUGCAGUGGUUAAUGAAUCUGACGAGGAACCAUGAGGUUGUGGGUUCGAUCCCUGCCCUUGCUUAGUGGGUUAAGGAUCCGGUGUUGCCGUGAGCUGUCGUGUANNNNNNNNNNNUCGGAUCCUGCGUGGCUGUGGCUCUGGCAUAGCCCGGUGGCUACAGCUCCGAUGGGACCCCCAGCCUGGGAACCUCCAUAUGCUGCAGGAGUGGCCCUAGAAAAGGCAAAAAGACAAAAAAAAAGAAACGUUUGUUGGAGUUCCCCCUGUGGCACAGUUAAGAAUCCCACUGCAGUUUCUCGUGUCACAGCAGAGGUGUGGGUUUGAUUCCGGCCCUACACAGGGCGUUAAAGGGUCCCUUAUUGCCAUAGCUGUGGCUCAGACUCAGGCCAUGGCCCAGAACUUCCAUAAGUUGCAGGUAUGGGCAUUAAAAAAAAGCAUUUGUUGAAGUGGAAUCAGUUGUACUAUCUAAGUGAUCACAGCUGUUUUUAUAAAGAAAUGAGACCAAUUGUGUGAGCUGUGAGCUGUACCCUUUUAAAGCCAAGAUUACGUAGGAAUCCAUUGUAUCCUUUGAUGCACAUUCUCCAAACCAUUUCAACAUCGUCGGACACCUAAAAUUUAACUUCCUGUCUUGGUCACUGUUACUUAUGCUUUAGUUUUAUAUGGUUACCUUUUUAAAAAAAUUUUUUAAUUUUUUGCUUUUUAGGGCCACACCCACAGCACAUAGAGGUUCUGAGGCUUGGGGUCCUAUUGUAGCUACAGCUAUCAGCCACAGCAAUGCCAGAUCCCAUCCGAAUCUGCGAGCUAUACCACAGCUCACCACAAUGCUGGAUCCUUAACCCACUGAGCGAGGCCAGGGAUUGAACCCACAUCCUCGUGGAUCCUAGUUGGGUGCAUAAACUGCCGAGCCACCGUGGGAACUGCUUUAUAUGGUUACCUUUAUUGAAAUCAAUUUCUUCUUUUUGCCCAGAUGUCUUAUUUUGCUUGAGUUACUGCAAAAAUCAUAAUUCUUUUAUUUACUAGUGUUCCUCUCUCUCAAAAUUUUUUACCCACCUCACUCUUGGCUGAAGGUCUGUCAACGUCCCCCUGCCUCAGAAAAUACUCCCUGGCUUGCUUUAUUUAGUCAUGGAAAAAAAAAAAAA